rnacentral:rRNA from 1 species
ACUCAAAGGAAUUGACGGGGACCCGCACAAGCAGCGGAGCAUGUGGUUUAAUUCGAUGCAACGCGAAGAACCUUACCAGGGCUUGACAUCCCCCGGACGGUCUUAGAGAUAAGACAUUCUCUUCGGAGACAGGGGAGACAGGUGGUGCAUGGUUGUCGUCAGCUCGUGUCGUGAGAUGUUGGGUUAAGUCCCGCAACGAGCGCAACCCUUGCCUUUAGUUGCCAACAGUAAGGCUGUGCACUCUAAAGGGACUGCCGAUGAUAAAUCGGAGGAAGGUGGGGAUGACGUCAAAUCAUCAUGCCCUUUAUGUCCUGGGCUACACACGUGCUACAAUGGUCGGUACAACGGGUAGCGACUUAGCGAUAAGGAGCCAAUCCCUAAAAGCCGAUCCCAGUUCGGAUUGCAGGCUGCAACUCGCCUGCAUGAAGCCGGAGUUGCUAGUAAUCGUGGAUCAGCAUGCCACGGUGAAUGCGUUCCCGGGUCUUGUACACACCGCCCGU